CAGCACCUCAAGUGGUCAGGAUGAUUAUUGGGCCUAAAGCAUCCGUAGCCGGCGCUGUAAGUUUCCGGUUAAAUCUGUACGCUCAACGUACAGGCUGCCGGGAAUACUGCAGCGCUAGGGAGUGGGAGAGGUAGACGGUACUCGGUAGGAAGGGGUAAAAUCCUUUGAUCUAUUGAUGACCACCUGUGGCGAAGGCGGUCUACCAGAACACGUCCGACGGUGAGGGAUGAAAGCUGGGGGAGCAAACCGGAUUAGAUACCCGAGUAGUCC
rnacentral:rRNA from 1 species